rnacentral:rRNA from 1 species
UGGUGAACUAUGCCUGGCCAGGACGAAGCCAGGGGAAACCCUGGUGGAGGUCCGAAGCGAUUCUGACGUGCAAAUCGAUCGUCUGAGCUGGGUAUAGGGGCGAAAGACCAAUCGAACCAUCUAGUAGCUGGUUCCCUCUGAAGUUUCCCUCAGGAUAGCUGGCUCUCGUGCGAGACGAGUCUCAUCCGGUAGAGCGAAUGAUUAGAGGUGAUGGGGUCGAAACGACUUCAACCUAUUCUCAAACUCCCAAUAGAUGAGAGCCCCGGCUUGCUUGAAUGUGAAGCCGUGGGACUCGGAUCAGAGUGCCAAGUGGGCCAAUUUUGGUAAGCAGAACUGGCGCUGUGGGAUGAACCAAACGCGGAGUUAAGGCGCCUGAUUCGACGCUCAUAUGAAACCAUGAAAGGCGUUGGUUGCUUAAGACAGCAGGACGGUGGCCAUGGAAGUCGGAAUCCGCUAAGGAGUGUGUAACAACUCACCUGCCGAAGCAACUAGCCCUGAAAAUGGAUGGCGCUGUAGCGUCGUGCCUAUACUCCGCCGUCAACGGCAAAGCUGGCGUCCCCUCAACAGGGAUAAGCCGUUACGCCUUGACGAGUAAGAGGGUCGCGGCGGUGUGCGCGGAAGGGUCUGGGCGUGAGCCCGCCUGGAGCCGCCGCUGGUGCAGAUCUUGGUGGUAGUAGCAAAUACUCCAGCGAGGCCCUGGAGGACUGAUGUGGAGAAGGGUUUCUUGUGAACAGCUGUUGCACAAGAGUCAGUCGAUCCUAAGCCCUAGGAGAAAUCCGAAGCGAUGGUAUGCCGUUAAAACUCU